ACCCGAUGAGACACCAGCAAGCUUCCACAUUUCUGUGGUUUAAGCCACUCGGUGCUUCGUUAGGGCAGCUCCACGAAACUAACACACCACCUGCACAUCCCCAAAGCUCAGCCUAACAGCACUACUGUUCCUGAAACAUCUCACAUCCCACCGCCCACCCCAUCCCACGGGCAACGUGCCAACCCAACACCUCGACUGGCUGUAUCUCAGCCAGCACGUUCCGCCCUUCCUCUCGCCCUUCCAAACACCUCCCUAACCUUUCAAGUCACACUGUCACAAAGUCCUUCCUCAUUACCCAGAGGGAUGGGUCUUGACUUGGACUUCUGGAGCACGUGAAACUUCCUGGCAGCCUGCAUGCAGAUAUUCAUUGGGCCGUAUGCGAGCACUUACUAAAGAGGUUUUCUGUGGGACAGCAGAGGUCUGUUCCCUGCCCCCCACAUGCACCCCCCAGCCCCCAAAGGGGGCCCAGGACUCUAGUGGGGGCUGAUCAGAGUCACACACCUCCAAUCCUAAGUGAUCGGGCCCAGGACCCAGGAGCCAAGCAGGGCUCCUCUGAACCAGCAAGAGAGAGAGCUGCUUCUUCCCCCUAAAAUCCCACAUGAAAAGGACACAAUCCCCAAAAAACAAGGACUUCAUCCGCCAUCAUAAGCAGAGCCUGAAAGAAUGGGCCACCUCACUCAGAAGCCCAGACAAAGAGUCAGUCUCAGCGGUAUUGAAUUAGACUGGUAUCUGUGAGGACGUGGGUUCAAUUCCUGAGUUAGGGAUCUGGUGUUGCUGUGGCUGUGGUGUACGCCGGCAGCUGCAGCUGAUUUGACCCCUAGCCUGGAAACUUCCAUAUGCCAUGAGUGUCGCCCUAAAAAAGAAAAAAAAAAAAAAUCAGUCUCUCCAGAGUUUAUUUCAUAAGCCAAAGCUGUGCCCCUUUUGCACUCGGGUUGGCUGAGCUGGGUUUCGGUUGUUUACAAACAGAGAGUCCCAGCUGUCCCCCUGUAGGAGCCUGGACUGCAACAGGUAUUAGAACAGGGUCAGUCCCUGCCCUCAAGUUGUUUUUCCUCCAAAAAGUUACAUGUAAGCUGAGACCUAGCUUAUGAAUAUGUGUUCACUUGAUGGCGGUCUGGCUUAGGCUACUAAAAAUAGCUACCAUUUAUCAAGUGGCUCCUACCCUAAUCAUAUUACAUACGUUAUUUCAAAUCAGCAGAGUUCCAUUUUACAGACAGGGAAGGAAAAGCAGCGCGUUUAAGCAGCUUUCCCAAGACCAUGCAGCUGGUAUGAACCCAAUGCCUCCUACUCAGUCUCAUCUCUGCUCUGCCACAAAGGCGGUAGAUCCCUCCACUUGGGAAAUGACAGAGCUCGAACUUGAACCCGGGGCCUGCCCAGCCCAGAGGCCACGUUCCUCCCACUUCCCUUUCCACUUGGAAGAAGGCCGGGUGGGGCCGAGCUGGUCCAUGCCAGGAACGACCUUAAAACUAAUCUCUGGUCUUGGGCUGGGACAGUCCUGAGACUCACUCACUCCUGGUGGCGCCAACCCUGCUGGCCUGACUCACAGCCACACGAACCCCGUGAGCCCAUGAGAGACACCGGAAUGCCCAUUUCCCAGCUGACUUCCCGGGACGGGCAGAGGAACCAGUGUCAGUAAGGUCAGCGUGUCCCCUUCCUGCGCACAGAUGACGUGGGAAGCCAGAAUCCAAAGUCUGCCUUGGGCUCAGCAUUCAGGUCCUAACAGACAAGCUUUAUUGAGGACCUCCUGCCUUCCUCUGGAGAAAUGGCCUUUCAUUCUGAACUUCAUCACCCAAAAGUUCCUCGUCUCUCAGAGUGACUGGCAUCUAGAUCACCAUGUUCCUGCAGAGCCCCGUCGGCUACACAGAGACAUGAGGUUAGAACCCGGUCUGCACCUUGCCCCAGUGGACAGGCCCCCGAAUUUAUAGUCCUCCGUGGCUGCAAUCCUGGGAAAGACGCAUACGCGUCCAAAGGAGACAGGAGCAGAGGCCGUUUCUCAAGCCCCCCUGACAGCCUGUUUGGCAAUGAGCGUUCUUGACCGAAAGGCAUGGUUCCCCCCCGGCGGUGAGUAGGCAGGGGGAAAAGCCCAGGAUUAGUCAACCCCUGGCCUCACAGGAAGCUCGCUUUCCUGUCAACAAGGCGCAGAGCGAACAGCCCUCGACCUCGGGCCAGAGGGCCCUCCGCCUGGCCCCUGUCACAAGACUCAGAUGGAGGGAAUCGUUUCCUCAAGGGGGGAAAACACACCCAGCCGUGUCUGCCCCUGGCCCCCCGAGCUGCCCCUUCGGCUCGGGCUGAGCUCCGGCUGGGGGACAGCUCCGGAGAAGCCUACCCGGGCCUCACAAAUCUCGGUUUCAAUGAUGGGCCAGAUAUUUCCCCACAAACCCAUGCGACACUAAAAGCAGAAGUUCUUGAGCAUGUGGCAACCUGGUUCCCGCUGAGGAGCUGGUAAAUGCUAUGGAUUAACUUUCCCCCUGGGGAGCAAAAAAAAAUCUGACCUCAAACACUUGGGGUCACAUUUCCAAGCACCUUGAACUCCUGAAGCCCAUUUAUUGAUGAACGAAUAUUCACGAAUUGCCCACUAGGCAUCAGGCACUGUGCUGGGAAUAGGACGGGGGAAGAAGGGAACUCAGUAUGCCUCGGGGCUGCCAAAAAAGAAGAGAAAAGAAAAAAAAAAGCUCUGCGUGUUAUUAAAAAGAAAAGAGAAAAAGAGAGAGAGUUCCCAUUGUGGACCAGUGGGUUA